AAGGUGUCCCUGCCACUGAAGCUCUCUGCUCCUGACCAGGCCAGCCUCUCGCUGUCGUCCUGCCUCCCCGCAUUGAUCCUACAGCAGGAUAAGCAGAGCUGGAUCACAGCCUGAGUCAUCGCACUUCAAACAGAGAAUGAAAGCUCCUGAGAUGAACACAGACAUUGCCACCUUAUUCCUCCAAACUUUUCAAACCUGGACUGAACAAUUAAAUACAUUCUGUGUGAUGCUGUAAGACAAUCAGGCUUAAUUUGAUGAGGAAGGAGACACAUUCCAGCGCUCUGACUCCUAUGAUCAGGGUCAUUAUUCAGUAGGCUGAAGACAGCACAUCUUGAUCUAUUGCAUAUUUGACUCUCCUCCUGCAUUACUGAUAGAUCUUGGACAUGGGCCAGUGUGCUGUGUGGUAGACAGAUCCCAUGCGAAGAGAAUGAAAAGACAUUACUGUGCAGACUGCCAGAGUUUCUGAAUGCAGAGUAAAUAAUUUCUGUCCGGAUGUUUGGAAAUUAGUUACCAUAGGAUUGCAUGGCAGCUGUAGAAAAAGGCUGGACUUGUCAGAAGCACCUUCAGCUCAGGCAAUAUCCAAGCAGCUGAGAUGUACCAAGUCACCUCUGAACUGCUGAACUGUACUGCUUGCCCGAGUCACCACAGUGAGAGGUAAUGCCCCAGAGAGGAGACAGCAGGUCAAAUUCCAGUGCAAAGCAAUACAGGCCAACUUUAAUAAUGAGAUAUAAAAGCGUAAGUCAUGUAACUUUCCAAGAGGGAAGAGCUAAUAGCUCCACAGACAGUUAUUAAUAGCCAAGUGUUAAGAAUUUUUGUUAAAAUUAUUUAACUUUGCAUACCCACAGAA